UACUAGUCCAACUAGAUUUAAAUUUUUUUUUCUUUACUAGUCUCUUCUUCCCCACCUCCCUUCUCUUAAAGAAAAGCUUUUUUUUUUUUUUCUGAAUACUUCAGAAGGGAGUGGUUUGAUGUGAAGGUUUUUUUUUCCCCUUCAGGCAUUGAAAAGGAAAAAGAUGAAAUAUAUGUUUAUAUAUAACUCUGUUUCUACAUACCUCAUUGAAGUCAAAACGCGUUUAAUUGUUAUAUUUCCCUUCCUCCAUGAUCUCCAACACUGAUAGAGUGGAAGAAACUGAGGUACCAUGAAAAAGAAAAGUAACUGGGACUGAGAAAAAGAAAGAGUUCUGUGCCUCACCCUGUACAUACCCACACCUGUAAUCAAACCCCUUACUUGUCCUAUCCCGUGAGUUUUACCCGUGAGUUUUAUUUCUCAAACUACACUCCUUUCCUGGCAUGUGCUUAUGGAAAAAAUUAAAAAUAGGAAUAAACCUAAUGCUAAUAGAAUA